UACAGAGGCCACGAGCGUUAGGCGGAAUCACUGGGCUUAAAGCGUGUGUAGGUGGAUGGGUAAGUACCUUGUGAAAUCCCACGGCUCAACCGUGGAACUGCUUGGUAUACUGCCUGUCUUGAGGCACUCGAGGGGCGAGCGGAACAAAUGGUGGAGCGGUGAAAUGCGCAGAUAUCAGGAGGAACACCGGUGGCGAAGGCGGGUCUCUGGGCCGUAACUGACGCUGAGGAGCGAAAGUGUGGGGAGCGAACAGG
rnacentral:rRNA from 1 species